CAAACGGCCCUUUUCAGGGCCACCUAUUUAUAAACACCAAAAAUA
rfam:Solenopsis invicta Si_gnG.contig35162, whole genome shotgun sequence.